AUUGGACUAACAGAGUUUUUUAAUGACAAGCUUUCGGGAGAACCUCCCUUUCUCCCUUCCCGAAAGCUUGUCAUUAAAAAACUCUGUUAGUCCAAU